AGAGUUUGAUCCUGGCUCAGGAUGAACGCUAGCUACAGGCUUAACACAUGCAAGUCGAGGGGAAACGGGGGAAUAGCUUGCUAUUCUUUGUCGUCGACCGGCGCACGGGUGAGUAACGCGUAUCCAACCUUCCCAUAACUAAGGAAUACCCCGUAGAAAUGCGGCCUAAUCCCUUAUGGUCUCUUAUGCCUGUCAUGGGAAUAAGAGUAAAGAUUUAUCGGUUAUGGAUGGGGAUGCGUCUGAUUAGCUUGCUGGCGGGGUAACGGCCCACCAGGGCAUCGAUCAGUAGGGGUUCUGAGAGGAAGGUCCCCCACAUUGGAACUGAGACACGGUCCAAACUCCUACGGGAGGCAGCAGUGAGGAAUAUUGGUCAAUGGGCGUAAGCCUGAACCAGCCAAGUAGCGUGCAGGAUGACGGCCCUAUGGGUUGUAAACUGCUUUUUAAGGUGAAUAAAGAGGGGCACGCGUGCCCUGUUGCAUGUAGCCUUGGAAUAAGGACCGGCUAAUUCCGUGCCAGCAGCCGCGGUAAUACGGAAGGUCCGGGUGUUAUCCGGAUUUAUUGGGUUUAAAGGGAGCGUAGSCCGCAGGUUAAGUGUGUUGUGAAAAGCAGUCGCCCAACGUCUGCCUUGCAGCGCAAACUGUCCUGCUUGAGUGCGCACAACGCAGGCGGAAUUCGUCGUGUAGCGGUGAAAUGCUUAGAUAUGACGAAGAACUCCGAUUGCGAAGGCAGCUUGCGGGAGCGCAACUGACGCUGAAGCUCGAAAGUGCGGGUAUCGAACAGGAUUAGAUACCCUGGUAGUCCGCACGGUAAACGCUGGAUGCCCGUUUUUGGCUUAUUUUAAGUCAGAGACCAAGCGAAAGCAUUAAGCAUCCCACCUGGGGAGUACGCCGGCAACGGUGAAACUCAAAGGAAUUGACGGGGGCCCGCACAAGCGGAGGAACAUGUGGUUUAAUUCGAUGAUACGCGAGGAACCUUACCCGGGCUUGAAUUGCCAGAGACGGCUCCAGAGAUGGAGCUUCCCUUCGGGGCUCUGGUGAAGGUGCUGCAUGGUUGUCGUCAGCUCGUGCCGUGAGGUGUCGGCUUAAGUGCCAUAACGAGCGCAACCCCUUUCUUCAGUUGCCAUCGGGUAAUGCCGGGCACUCUGUAGAUACUGCCGCCGUAAGGUGUGAGGAAGGUGGGGAUGACGUCAAAUCAGCACGGCCCUUACGUCCGGGGCUACACACGUGUUACAAUGGUCGGAGCAGCAGGAAGCUACCUGGCGACAGGAUGCUGAUCCCGAAACCCGGCCUCAGUUCGGACUGGAGUCUGCAACCCGACUCCACGAAGCCGGAUUCGCUAGUAAUCGCGCAUCAGCCAUGGCGCGGUGAAUACGUUCCCGGGCCUUGUACACACCGCCCGUCAAGCCAUGAAAGCCGGGGGUGCCUGAAAGCCGUGACCGCGAGGGUCGGCCUAGGGUAAAACCGGUGAUUGGGGCUAAGUCGUAACAAGGUAGCCGUACCGGAAGGUGC
rnacentral:rRNA from 3 species